rnacentral:rRNA from 1 species
AUACGGAGGGGGCAAGCGUUGUUCGGAAUUACUGGGCGUAAAGGGCGCGUAGGCGGCGUCGUUAGUCAGGUGUGAAAUCCCCGGGCUCAACCCGGGAACUGCGUUUGAUACUGCGGAACUAGAGAUCGGGAGAGGGUAGUGGAAUUCCCAGUGUAGAGGUGAAAUUCGUAGAUAUUGGGAAGAACACCAGUGGCGAAGGCGGCUACCUGGACCGGACCUGACGCUGAGGUGCGAAAGCGUGGGGAGCAAACAGGAUAGAAACCCCAGUAGUCC